CCAGGAGAUGGGCCAUGCUGCUCACAAGCAUGAUGACCAGUCCAUGCUAUGAACACCUAGAGACAGUUUCUAAAGCAAUUAGCUGGAAGGCUUUCCACCAAAAUGGUUCCAAUUUCUACCCCAAUUGGCAAGAGGGUUUUUCUGGUUUGCCUCAUACAGUGGGGCCAUGGUGUAGCCAACCCAGCAGCCGUGGACUGCUGGCAGCACGUAUUCAGGGGAGCAGGAAUCAAUGACAGAGCAAAGGGGUGUGGAUGGGAAGUGAGAGGCAAUCAGAUAUUGGGAAAUGGAGAGAAUACUGGGUUUGUUUCAGGGGCAUGGACUUCAGUCCUCUGUGUGCACCUUCAUGACAUCUUCACACUAGUACCUGCAGGGCUGAGCUUUGCCUCCUUGUGAUGUGGGGACUUGGAAGCCUCAAACACGAGUCUGGUUCUGAUAUUUUAUGCCUGCCGCUCUGACAAAAUUCGCAGAGAUUAGCCCUGCCCCGGGGCGGGGGGGGGGGAGUUAAAUUAUUACUGAGGUAAAAAGGCUGUGGAAUGGCAUGAUCUUGAGAUUUGGAUUAUCUACUCAUUAUCUGUACCUUGAGGGAUGAAUAUGGGAGACAUGAGUGGGUCUGACAUUGUGUCAAGAGAGGAAGAAAACCAUGAAACGUGAUGGUGUGAGGUAGGCAAUCAUACGCUUUUGAUUACUCGGCAAAAAUGGAUCGUGAAUCUCUGUGAUAGGCGUUGGGGUGACAUUGACGGGAGGGAAGGGAAGGGAGUGGAAAUGAUCAGAAAGGAAGAGAAGGAAUGAAAACACAGUGUGGAAAGGUGGGCCGGAGAUUUUGUGGUUUUGUGAUUUCCAAAGAAUCAAAUUUGUUUCCUAUAGUCGUGAUGGUAGGAUUCAUGCAGAAGGUGGAGGGCUCCAAGGUCAACCAGUAGGACACGUCAGAUCGGAAAGGACAGAGGACACCAUCCUACAGAAUUGAAAAGGAUGUUUUGCACGUCAUGGAGAAUUUUAGUGUAUGAGCCAUGAUGAUUAGAACGUGGUUAAGGUUUCUGGCAGAAAUGUGGAGGAUAAGGAGGAGGUGAGGCUGAAGGGAACAUUAAACAUUAAAUAUUAAUAUUAAAAUUGCAUCACCAGAUCAAAAGUCAACAGUGUGAGAAGUUUAUCUUCAGCUUAGAGCAUGCUGGCCAUGUUGGGCUCCAGGGAAAUAGCAUAGCCUUAAACUAAUGCAUUGCUAAAAAUAAAUGAAGACAGGCAACUUAGCCUUCA
rnacentral:lncRNA from 1 species